AAGGUGCUACGGGACAAUUGUUGGAAGUGCUGUCAGGAAAUGCGCGGGAGGCGGGGAAUGGCGGGUUUUCCUGUUGGAAUAAAUUGGGAUUUCAGUCUCUGCAAGUUCGCCACGAGGAGCCGCAGCGACUUCCCCGCGAGAGGGCCGCGCCUGUGGAAUCCGUGGGUCUUCCUGGAUGCCCAUUUGUGCCCCAGGACGGCUUUUCCCCGCGCCUCCGACUGCGCACGAGCAGGCAGCCUCUCUUCUUCGCAUCCCCCCUCAUCCCCGGGCUCUUCCUUCAUAAACUCGUCCACCAGCCUCCUUCCCUUCUCAACUUAGUUUCCUGCCCGCCCCGCGCUCUGGCCGAGACCCUCUCGUCUUUCAAAACAAAUACAAGCGCACCGUCGACGGAGCUUCUGUUGCUGGACUUAACCGCCCUCUCCUCCCUGCGUCCAAACGGCAAACAUCUCCUGCCAUUGGGUUCCUCUCGCGUGUUCACGUGUCCCGACAAGCCCGAAGUCCGCCCGCGUUUCAGUUUCGGUUUCCCCUCUGCUCUGCCUCAGACAUCUUUGAGCCUCCGUGUCGUAGAAAACAGGCAGUCGGAAGUCAGAAAGACUAAAGUACACUCAAGCUGAGAAGAGCGGAUUUACCAUUUAGUAUCUGUGUGGCACCUGCCCAAAUUGCUGCUGGAGAAUGUCAGAAUUCCAAAGAAAUGCAGGAAACAUGCCUUCAGAGAAAGCUCUUGAUGAAGCUAUUGCUCAUUUUCUCAAAGAAUUCCCUGACAAGAAAAA